rnacentral:misc_RNA from 1 species
UUUAGAUCUGCUUCUGUGUUGCGCAUCCUCUGCUUCUACAUCUAUGUAUGUAUGUAUACUUUCGCCCUCGUCUCUCACGUGGAUAAUGCCGCGGCUGGUUGGAAUGGGGGGGGGGGCAGCCGCACACAUCCUGCAUGCGGCUUUCGCUUCGCGAUUUGUUGCCCGUGCCUGCCCCUGAUGACGCCGGCCACCUCAGCGCGUGGUAUCGGCGUCGAGCGCCCAGGCUUUCUGGAGAAGCGGCGAGGCUGCCGCCUACUUCUGGGCACGGCUGGCGGACGCUUGGUGUCGGUGGGCAGGCUCGGUGCCGCUCUGUGCGGGGGAGACUUGCUGCCGGGAUGAUGCUUGUACCAGCUCCCCAGGAAGCACGCCAAGGACGCGGCACGUAUUGGAGAGCAAGAGGCACGCCGAUCAGCCCCACAGCACAUGCCUGCGAAGCGCACGGCACCUCCGACGUCCCGGGCGGGUGGGCUGGCGAGGCCCGGGUGCCGGCAGCAUGGCGAGAGCAGCCCGAAUCAACGCAGCGAGUCCUCCAGACGCCCAUGUGGAGUGUCGCCACACGGUGGCACGGGAGUGCGCGGCGCGAGGCAACGGGGUGCGAAGGAUGGCCCGCAGGCAGCGGUGCGCAGGGUCUCGGAGGGCCCUGACCUGAGAGGCUGGCCGACGUUGUCCGUGAGCUCACCCGGUGCGCGCGUAGCUGACGCCUCGCCUGUUGGCCGGCGCGACGGGCGCCACGGCUUCCGCCCUCGAGCGGGGGACCCUUGGCGGCGGUGUGCUUUGGGUGAAGGCGUGCAGGCCACCCGCGUCUGCGUCUGGCGCGGAUCGGGCAGCACGCCGCCGGCGGAGGGACCGAGAGGGGCAGGAUGGGGAGAGCUGGUUAGACGCGUGGCCUGAUUCGAUGACAGGGGCUGGGCGGGCGCGUCCCAGAGGGCCUGGAUGUCGCGGUGGUGCGGCAGCGGUGGUGGAGCUGUGGCUGGGUGUGCGUAUAUUCUGUUGCCCUGUACUUGGUCGAAUAUGGACACGCUGAAGGAAAAGGUAAACGCGCCUAGUCUGUGUGUGUGAACCUCCCUGCGAUCAGGCUUUUACGUCUCUAUGUAUGAUUUGUGUUACAAGUUUUGCGCUUCUUAGCUAGCGACUGCGGCUUUUCGUGUGUUGCCGAAUUGGUCGUUGUUUUGCAUGCUUUUUGCAGCGUUUUCGCGAAGGGGCAGGCAGUUGUUAGCUACACGGCAGGACCUUUUUUUAAUUGUUUCAGCGGUUCGCUUUUUCCCCGAUUUCUCCAACUCUCGUUUUCUAUUUGGCGUGUUAGCUCUCCUCCUCUUUCUGUCCUCCUUUGGCUGGUGUGUUGGUGGUUUUAGUUGCGUGUGGGAAUGUCGUCAGUCGAGGACUGCUUUUUGCUUUUGGAGGGCUGACAGACAUCCUUUAUCCAUGGGAGAGCAGAUGCCGUACGUGAAGUAACUCACUUCUAGCGCGGACAUUGCUGCACUUGACAGAAGAGGGUGGGAGUACUGCAAGCAUGGAAUGGCACUGGGUCGAAGUGGCAAGCAGUGCUAUCUUGUCCUCUGAUGCACGUCCGUUAGCGCCAAGUGAGCGAAAUAUCUACACAAGGAGUAAAAAAAAAUGAUCAGCAUCUCACUUGCCGGCGUGUUUGUAUGCGGCCGUCUUUUCUUCUCUGUUCGUCGUCUCGUUCGAGUCUAC